UACGGGGGGGGCAAGCGUUGUUCGGAAUUACUGGGCGUAAAGCGCGCGUAGGCGGCUUUUCAAGUCAGACGUGAAAUCCCUCGGCUUAACCGGGGAACUGCGUCUGAUACUGGAUGGCUUGAGAUUGGGAGAGGGACGCGGAAUUCCAGGUGUAGCGGUGAAAUGCGUAGAUAUCUGGAGGAACACCGGUGGCGAAGGCGGCGUCCUGGACCAACACUGACACUGAGGAGCGAAAGCCAGGGGAGCAAACGGG
rnacentral:rRNA from 1 species